UAUGUUUUAAAAUUAUAAUUAUCUCUAAAUUGGUAUUUGAUUCUAAAAAGAAUCUUUAAAAUAUUUUAGAAUUAGAAAAUUCUUUGUAAUUCUAAAAACUCUAACUCUCAAACUUUCAAGAUUUUUUUUGAGAGUAACUUUCAACUAUGACAAAGGUCAAAGAUCUUAUCGUGAAACUUCAAUAAAAGCUUUGAGGGAUCAACUAAGGAGCAUAGGGUAGUGUUGUGUCAAGGAUAUGGAAAAGGAGUAUAGGUGUUGA
rnacentral:lncRNA from 1 species